CUCUGACCCCUGUUACACAGCUAUUUACUGGGUGAGUGCCUUUUGGCUGAAUCUCACUAUGAGGAGGGACCCAAGGCAGUUCGCCUCUGCAUAACAAGGACAGCAGGGUACUCUUACUGCUGCGCAUCAGCUGUGUUACCUUCCCUGAUCUUUUAUCAUAAUGUAGUCCCGAGGGAUCUGGAUUGACCUUGACAUUCUGUGCUGGCCAGGUAGAGGCAUGACGCUAACUGGAAUUGGAGAGCAGGAAGUGGCAAGUAUACAAAUACCUUAGUAAGAUGCAGGCGUACCAGAAAUGGAGCAAUGAAAAUCAUGACAAUUCACUAACAUUUAUGAAACAUUUAGGGGUCUGAGUCUAGGGCAUGAUGGUACACCCUCUAAGAUAAAGAAUAAACUGCUGCAGCUCACAUUUUCUGCAACUGAAAAGAGGCUGGUAGGCCUCUGGGUUUUAAGGGCACUAUUCACUGAUAACCAGAGGUUCCUGCUGUGAUUUAUGACAGCUGCCCUAAAAGUGCCCCUAGUCCUUCUUCCUGGCCUACUCUCACCUUGUUCCUUUCUCUUCCAGAUUCCUGACUGCCAGCUUUGCGACUUGCCCUCAGAUCAGGCAUUGAAUGCGGUCUCUGGGUUGGAUCUUAGCUCUCCCCAGAGGACUGGCUUGGCUCUGCCUUCAAUGCCCACAGUAAAAACUGUCCACUCCAGCUCCAGCCCCAGGCCCAGGUCCUGGCAAGGCCAGCAGACCCCUGACCUGCAACCUUGUCCAUGUGGGCUGUCUGGAGCUAAGUGCAAUGAAAGAAGGAGUCAAGGACAUGUGAUGGACAAGAGAUUUAGAUAGAUAAGGCAGAAGGGGAAGCCAGAAGAGACAUUCAAGGCAUUAGAAGUGCUCAGCCUGCCAUUGCUAACUUUGGAGAUUGAGGAAGAAGACCAGGACUAGAAGGUGAUGCUAAAUCCCAAGUUUGUGUUCUCUUCCUGGCCCACAAAUUCAGGCUUGAUUUCUGUGCAUGCUCAUUAACUGCCUGCCAAAAUUUGUUCCCAUCACUGCUUCUGGGACCAUGCACAAGGAGCCCAGACUCAUAGGGUCAAUGGAAAAACUGAUGUGAUCAGCUUAAUUGGGACCUAAAGGCAUUUGAAGAAACCAAAAAUACUGCUGAAGAAUUCUGAAGAAAAAUGGAGGCGGGAAUUCUGUGUUGCAGACACUGUUGCCUACCCAGCAUUCAUUCUACCCCUAACCCCUUCUUUCUAACAGGCACCGUCCUAAUUGGUUCAGUUCUUCACCCUUCUGUUUACUCAGAGAAUGUGAGCACACCAUCCCUAGCUUCAGACAGUGAAUCAUGAUUAGGUUCUAUCUAACAGAUAUCAGAGGUAUCUAUAUCUAUGAACACCAGAGG